rnacentral:rRNA from 1 species
GAUGAACGCUGGCGGCGUGCCUAAUACAUGCAAGUCGAGCGAACGGAUGAGAAGCUUGCUUCUCUGAUGUUAGCGGCGGACGUGUGAGUAACACGUGGUUAACCUACCUAUAAGACUGGGAUAACUUCGUGAAACCGGUGCUAAUACCGGAUAAUAUUUUGAACCGUAUGGUUCAAAAGUGAAAGACGGUCUUGCUGUCACUUAUAGAUGGAUCCGCGCUGCAUUAGCUAGUUGGUAAGGUAACGGCUUACCAAGGCAACGAUGCAUAGCCGACCUGAGAGGGGGAUGGGCCCCACUGGAACUGAAACACGGUACAGACUCCUACGGGAGGCAGCAAUAGGGAAACUUCCGCAAUGGGCGAAAGCCUGAAGGAGCAACGCCACGUGAGUGAUGAAGGGCUUCGGAUCGUAAAACUCUGUUAUUAGGGUAGAACAUAUGUGUAAGUAACUGUGCACAUCUUGACGGUACCUAAUCAGAAAGCCACGGCUAACUACGUG